GAUGAAGAACGUAGCGAAAUGCGAUAAGUAAUGUGAAUUGCAGAAUUCAGUGAAUCAUCGAGUCUUUGAACGCACAUUGCGCCCCCUGGUAUUCCGGGGGGCAUGCCUGUCCGAGCGUCAUUGCUGCCCUCAAGCACGGCUUGUGUGUUGGGCCCCGUCCUCCGAUCCCGGGGGACGGGCCCGAAAGGCAGCGGCGGCACCGCGUCCGGUCCUCGAGCGUAUGGGGCUUUGUCACCCGCUCUGUAGGCCCGGCCGGCGCUUGCCGAUCAACCCAAAUUUUUUAUCCAGGUUGACCUCGGAUCAGGUAAGACUACCCGCUGAACUUAAGCAUAUCAAUAAGCGGAGGA
rnacentral:misc_RNA from 1 species